CAAAAAAGCUGGCCAACAAGGCAGCACUGUGGUACGUCCCCUGCUCUCUGCAGAACGCUGACAAGAUUCUGGAGGUGCCGUCCAUCAAGUAUACUAAUCCGGAACUAGAGGAAGAAGGCAGGAAGCGCUAUGAAGCACAGAAAAUCGAGAGACAUGAGACCAAAGCAAGACUUGAAGAGGUGAUGCCACCUCCACCAAACCCAGAAGAUGCACCUAAAG